UACAGAGGGUGCGAGCGUUGUCCGGAAUCACUGGGCGUAAAGGGCGCGUAGGCGGCUUUCCGCGCGUGCGGUGAAAGCCCGGGGCUCAACUCCGGGUCGGCCGUGCGGACGGGGGAGCUAGAGUCUGGUAGAGGCUGAUGGAAUUCCCGGUGUAGCGGUGAAAUGCGUAGAUAUCGGGAGGAAUACCUAUGGCGAAAGCAGGCUACUGGACCAUCACUGACGCUGAUCUGCGAAAGCUAGGGGAGCAAACAGG
rnacentral:rRNA from 1 species